GAUGAACGCUGGCGGCGCGCCUAACACAUGCAAGUCGAACGGCACCCCUCCUCGGAGGGAAGCGAGUGGCGAACGGCUGAGUAACACGUGGAGAACCUGCCCCCUCCCCCGGGAUAGCCGCCCGAAAGGACGGGUAAUACCGGAUACCCCGGGGUGCCGCAUGGCACCCCGGCUAAAGCCCCGACGGGAGGGGAUGGCUCCGCGGCCCAUCAGGUAGACGGCGGGGUGACGGCCCACCGUGCCGACAACGGGUAGCCGGGUUGAGAGACCGGCCGGCCAGAUUGGGACUGAGACACGGCCCAGACUCCUACGGGAGGCAGCAGUGGGGAAUCUUGCGCAAUGGGGGGAACCCUGACGCAGCGACGCCGCGUGCGGGACGGAGGCCUUCGGGUCGUAAACCGCUUUCAGCAGGGAAGAGUCAAGACUGUACCUGCAGAAGAAGCCCCGGCUAACUACGUG
rnacentral:rRNA from 1 species